CACUCUACCUGCGAUGGGCAGAGAAACGCAGCCCUGUGUGCCUCACGCUGCCUCCUGACCCGCCUGUGUGGUAUGUCCGGUGCUGCUCUGGCCAGGCGGCUCCUGAUCCAGGUACCCGGGCCUGCGGCUGGCAGGGGUCUCCCUCCUCCCCCUGCUGCUGCCGCAGGUUCAGGCGAUUUCCCCUCAGGCCUGUGCCCUUCUGCCCCUGCCCCCAUGUCCUCACAGCCUCUGCUCAAAGUCACCCUCAAGGGAAGCCCUCCCGUGGUUGGAAUGGUAACCUAUGUCACCCAUCAGUGCUGUGUCCCCAAAUCCCCUGUGUCUAGAGAGGUGAGACCUAAACCCACGGGGAAUGUUUACAUUUCUUAAAAUGGGGUACCUGGCCAUGAAGCCCCUCAAACCCACCCCUCACUUCCAGCACGCUUGUCCCUUUGGCUUGCGGCCUUCUGCAGCAGUGCUGGAGCCCUCUUUCCCGCGCUGUCCAAGUGGCUCAGGGUCCUGAAUUCAUUCCCAGUGCUUCCCUUUCAUGGCCCUUGUGACCUGGGGAAGAGCCAGGAGUUGCACGGUGUCAGAUCCGAUGAACGCAGCACUUGCGGACACAGUGCCCUGUUUUCCAAGCCCGCCUUUCUGCUGCAUGGCACUUGGUGGCAGUGGACACUAUUUUUGAUCACGCCUCACAUAGACUUUCCAGAACUGCUUCAGAAAGCGGCAAGAUGAAGUAAUAAGCGUAUCUGGAGGGGUUCAGUUCCAAGUAUCAGAAAAGAAGGGGGGAGGGGGCUGGAGGUGUCGCUCUGCGGUGGGUGCUUGCUGAGUGCAGACCUCACCUGAGGCCUGGGUUCCAUCCCCAGCACCACAAAACGAGGACCGCGCCCUCCUCGGGCCCAGCGCAGGGCAGCAUGGCCUCCGGAAGGAGGCGCAGCCAGCUGGGCCUGGACAGGGGGACAGAGGGGGCGGGGAGCGGGGCAGGGGCUGACUCCAGCUCUCCUGGGCAACUGUCCCAAGUGCCAGGUGUCUCUGUCUCUUGCAGGUCCGGGCAUCCGAGUGAGGAUGCAGCCACAGCAGCUCCAGCCCGAGUGUUCACCCUGGCCCUGGUCCCACAGCCCCAGCAAAGACUGCUGGGAAACCCGCCUCAGGAACAGGGACACGGCAGCGUCAGAGAUGGACAUCCCUGUCCUCAGACAGGCACCCCAGACGGGAGGGCAGGAGGGCAGAAGGCCCCACUUCGGACCUUAACCCGGACCUCCCCAGUGUGGUGCGGACCAAGCAGAGAAGAGCUGUCAGAUUCGCCCCAGAGGCCAGCGGAGCCCCGACAGCCAGGCGCUACUGCCCCACGCCAGGAGAAAGGACAGAGGAUUCAGACUGGGAAGGCUCAGCACGCUGUAGGACUGCAAGUCACUGCAGAUGAAGCAGCCGCCAGUCCCCGCACAGACGAGUGGAGCCCGUGCAGCAGCCAGGUGUGGUGGUGCUCAUCUGUGAUCCCAGCACACCGGAGGCUGAGGCAGGAGGAUUGCAAGUUCAAGCCCAGGCCGGGCAACUUAGUGACUCAUCAAGACCCUAUCUCAAAAGAAGAACUGGAAGAAGGGCUGGGUUCCAUCCUGAGUGCUACGAAACAAAAUCGUGGACGGGGCCUGGAGGACGUCAGCCCUGCAGGGGACACGGAGCGUGGAGCCCCCGGGUCCUGGAGCUCAGGGGCUCCCCAGGGCCAGCUGAUGUGA
ensembl:lincRNA